rnacentral:rRNA from 1 species
ACCCGCACAAGCAGCGGAGCGUGUGGUUUAAUUCGAUGCUACACGAAGAACCUUACCAGGGUUUGACAUGCAAGUGGUAGGAAACUGAAAGGGGACCGACCUUCGGGGAGCUUGCACAGGUGCUGCAUGGCUGUCGUCAGCUCGUGUCGUGAGAUGUUCGGUUAAGUCCGCUAACGAGCGCAACCCUCACUGUGUGUUAUAUGUGUCACACGGGACUGCCGGUUUUAAGCCGGAGGAAGGUGGGAUGACGUCAAGUCAGCAUGGCCUUUAUAUCCUGGGCUACACACACGCUACAAUGGUCGGUACAAUAGGUUGCCAAGCCGCGAGGCGGAGCCAAUCCAUAAAAGCCGGCCUCAGUUCAGAUUGUAGGCUGCAACUCGCCUGCAUGAAGAUGGAGUUGCUAGUAACCGCAGGUCAGCAAUACUGCGGUGAAUACGUUCCCGGGCCUU